rnacentral:tmRNA from 1 species
GGGGCUGACUGGUUUUGACAGCAAGAUGGAUGGUUAUGUAAGCAUGCCGAGCCUUUCGAUGACGCUCGUAAAUCUUGAUCGAGAACAACAAUUGGCGAAAAUAACUACGCUCUCGCAGCGUAAUCGAAGUUUAGUAGAUUACAGCUUUAUCCCGUCAUCAGAUGGUGGGACGAGACAUCUCGCGGGUGGACACGCCUGAUUCCGGCCCGAGUACGAGGUGCUAAUCAACCUCAGGAUAGGUUUGCAAUUGCUUCGCUUGCAAACUGACGUAACAGAAGCUAAGUGGCAGCUCAGGAUGUCUGUGUCCUUUCUGCCAUCGAAAAUCAAUCACAGAAUAAGCAUGUAGAAAGCUUAAUAAUUCCUUGUUUGGACGAGGGUUCGAGUCCCUCCAGUUCCACAA